UCUGACGGAGCAACGCCGCGUGAGUGAUGAAGGUUUUCGGAUCGUAAAGCUCUGUUGUUAGGGAAGAACAAGUGCCGUUCAAAUAGGGCGGCACCUUGACGGUACCUAACCAGAAAGCCACGGCUAACUACGUGCCAGCAGCCGCGGUAAUACGUAGGUGGCAAGCGUUGUCCGGAAUUAUUGGGCGUAAAGGGCUCGCAGGCGGUUUCUUAAGUCUGAUGUGAAAGCCCCCGGCUCAACCGGGGAGGGUCAUUGGAAACUGGGGAACUUGAGUGCAGAAGAGGAGAGUGGAAUUCCACGUGUAGCGGUGAAAUGCGUAGAGAUGUGGAGGAACACCAGUGGCGAAGGCGACUCUCUGGUCUGUAACUGACGCUGAGGAGCGAAAGCGUGGGGAGCGAACAGGAUUAGAUACCCUGGUAGUCCACGCCGUAAACGAUGAGUGCUAAGUGUUAGGGGGUUUCCGCCCCUUAGUGCUGCAGCUAACGCAUUAAGCACUCCGCCUGGGGAGUACGGUCGCAAGACUGAAACUCAAAGGAAUUGACGGGGGCCCGCACAAGCGGUGGAGCAUGUGGUUUAAUUCGAAGCAACGCGAAGAACCUUACCAGGUCUUGACAUCCUCUGACA
rnacentral:rRNA from 1 species